GACGAACGCUGGCGGCGUGCCUAAUACAUGCAAGUCGAACGAGAGCGACCGGUGCUUGCACUGGUCAAUCUAGUGGCGAACGGGUGAGUAACACGUGGGUAACCUGCCCAUCAGAGGGGGAUAACAUCCGGAAACGGAUGCUAAAACCGCAUAGGUCUUCGAACCGCAUGGUUUGAAGAGGAAAAGAGGCGCAAGCCUCUGCUGAUGGAUGGACCCGCGGUGCAUUAGCUAGUUGGUGAGGUAACGGCUCACCAAGGCCGUGAUGCAUAGCCGACCUGUGAGGGUGAUCGGCCACAUUGGGACUGAGACACGGCCCAAACUCCUACGGGAGGCAGCAGUAGGGAAUCUUCCGCAAUGGACGCAAGUCUGACGGAGCAACGCCGCGUGAGUGAAGAAGGUGUUCGGAUCGUAAAACUCUGUUGUUAGAGAAGAACAAGUGCUAGAGUAACUGUUAGCGCCUUGACGGUAUCUAACCAGAAAGCCACGGCUAACUACGUG
rnacentral:rRNA from 1 species